rnacentral:rRNA from 1 species
AUUGAACGCUGGCGGCAGGCCUAACACAUGCAAGUCGAACGAGUGGCGGACGGGUGAGUAAUGUCUGGGAAACUGCCUGAUGGAGGGGGAUAACUACUGGAAACGGUAGCUAAUACCGCAUAACACCAGAUGUGCCCAGAUGGGAGUGGCUUGUUGGUGGGGUAAAGGCUCACCAAGGCGAAGAUCCCUAGCUGGUCCGAGAGGGUGAACAGCCACACUGGAACUGCGACACGGUCCAGACCCCUACGGGAGGCAGCAUUGGGGAAUAUUGCACAAUGGGCGCAAGCCUGAUGCAGCCAUGCCGCGUGUAUGAAGAAGGCCUUCGGGUUGUAAAGUACUGUCAGCGGGGAGGCGUUACCCACAGAAUAAGCCCCGGCUAACUCCGUGCCAGCAGCCGCGGUAAUUC